UGUGUGUGUGUGUGUGUGUAGGGAAGCGGAUUUGUUUGUAUCCCUAGACUCUGAAACAGUUCUUGAUAUAUAAUAAGUGUUCAAUUAAUAAUUUUUGCAGGAGUGUGAAAUGCUGGGAAAAGCUUCCUGGCUUUGAAAAGAAGAACAGGAGACAAAGAAAGAUGGCUAAAAAGCAUGGCACUUACAGUCAUUCAAGGAGUAACCCUCAUAUACUGAUGUGGAUGUUAAAUACCCCCUUUACUCUUAGUAGAGCUGGAAUUUGAACCAUCGUCUCUUUGGUCCUGAUUCCACCACAUAUUGAUCCCUCAGCACCAGGAGACCUCCCUGUGCUCCAGUGGGGUAGCCGACAUACCCCAGGGUCUGUUACCCACUGGGCCGGCAGGGAGCAGUUGGAGAUGGCACUAGGGGGUUGUGAUUCUCCAGGUGCCUUUGGCAAGACUCCUCAGUUGACCUGAAACCGACGAUUGUGAAGCAGGGCAAUUUCCAGGGUCAGAUGCUGUUGAGAGCCACAGCCAAAGGGGCCCCAGCAAACUUCCAGCUGCCAGCAAACUUCCAGCUGCUGGCUGAUGAUUGGCUCACAGCGGCCCCAGCAACAUCUAGCUGAUUGGCUCCUCGGCCCCAGCAACAUCUAGCCGAUUGGCUCCUCUGCGGUGAUGCUCAUUGGGCUGUUUCCCUGCCCUUUCAGACCACGGAGCUGCUCAUUGGGGGACUUUUUUGGCUCUGCCCACGUGACCCAGCCAAUCGGCCUCAAGAGCAGGAGGAUUGUGGGAGGUGGAGAGAAGCUUGUGUGGGAGAGGGAGGCUUGUGGAAAGCCGGUGGUGGCAGUUGAGGCUCUGAGGGUUUUUCCUGAGAGGCUGUUUUGUUUGGCAUGUGUGGUUCUAAAAAUAAAGUUAGUUUCUUUUGACAAGUGGCUCCUGAUUGUGCCCAGCCAGACUGCAGCAUUUGGUGGCUCGCACGGGGAGCGACUGAGGGUAAGUGAAACUGCUCGCCCCUGAGGGCAGGGCGAGAGGAUGGGUAGCCAUUUUAAGAUUCCUCUUUUAUUUUGCUUCACUUUUGUUUUAAGUUGCCUGUCCCUGGAGAUGAGUGAGACGGAAGAAAAACCGCUCACAUCUGAGGAAAAACUAUUUACGUCUGAGGAACAGAUAAGGAGAAAGGACGGAUGCACAUGUCAGGAGGAUAGAAAGGCUAUAAUGACUUUUUGUUGUUCCCUUUUUAUUUCAUUCUGUCUCGGUUUUGUUUGGCGUUAUCUUGUUGGGUUGUAUUAUAGUAGAAAUACGGGAUCAGAAAUUAGUAAAAAACAAACUGAAAGAGUGUUAAGUAAAUUGUUAGAGGAAGGAGGCAUCUCAGUAAAAUCAAGAACAAUCAGGGCAUACGUUGAUACAAUACAAAAAUGUAGCCCAUGGCUUUUU
rnacentral:lncRNA from 1 species